GGGGUUCGUGUUUCACUCCAACCCCUGUGACAUACCAAUUGUUGCCUCGGCGGAUCAGCCCGCUCCCGGUAAAACGGGACGGCCCGCCAGAGGACCCCUAAACUCUGUUUCUAUAUGUAACUUCUGAGUAAAACCAUAAAUAAAUCAAAACUUUCAACAACGGAUCUCUUGGUUCUGGCAUCGAUGAAGAACGCAGCAAAAUGCGAUAAGUAAUGUGAAUUGCAGAAUUCAGUGAAUCAUCGAAUCUUUGAACGCACAUUGCGCCCGCCAGUAUUCUGGCGGGCAUGCCUGUUCGAGCGUCAUUUCAACCCUCAAGCCCAGCUUGGUGUUGGGACUCGCGAGUCAAAUCGCGUUCCCCAAAUUGAUUGGCGGUCACGUCGAGCUUCCAUAGCGUAGUAGUAAAACCCUCGUUACUGGUAAUCGUCGCGGCCACGCCGUUAAACCCCAACUUCUGAAUGUUGACCUCGGAUCAGGUAGGAAUACCCGCUGAACUUAAGCAUAUCAAUAAGCGGAGGAAU
rnacentral:rRNA from 2 species